AGAGUUUGAUCCUGGCUCAGAACGAACGCUGGCGGCAUGCCUAACACAUGCAAGUCGAACGAACCCUUCGGGGUUAGUGGCGCACGGGUGCGUAACGCGUGGGAAUCUGCCCUUAGGUACGGAAUAACUCAGGGAAACUUGUGCUAAUACCGUAUGAUGUCGAGAGACCAAAGAUUUAUCGCCUAGGGAUGAGCCCGCGUAGGAUUAGCUAGUUGGUGGGGUAAAGGCCUACCAAGGCUACGAUCCUUAGCUGGUCUGAGAGGAUGAUCAGCCACACUGGGACUGAGACACGGCCCAGACUCCUACGGGAGGCAGCAGUGGGGAAUAUUGGACAAUGGGCGAAAGCCUGAUCCAGCAAUGCCGCGUGAGUGAAGAAGGCCUUCGGGUUGUAAAGCUCUUUUACCCGGGAAGAUAAUGACUGUACCGGGAGAAUAAGCUCCGGCUAACUCCGUGCCAGCAGCCGCGGUAAUACGGAGGGAGCUAGCGUUGUUCGGAAUUACUGGGCGUAAAGCGUACGUAGGCGGCUUUGUAAGUCAGAGGUGAAAGCCCACGA
rnacentral:rRNA from 1 species